rnacentral:rRNA from 1 species
GCGCAGAUAUCAGGAGGAACACCGAUGGCGAAGGCAGAUCUCUGGGCCGUAACUGACGCUGAGGAGCGAAAGGGUGGGGAGCAAACAGGCUUAGAUACCCUGGUAGUCCACCCCGUAAACGUUGGGAACUAGUUGUGGGGUCCUUUCCACGGAUUCCGUGACGCAGCUAACGCAUUAAGUUCCCCGCCUGGGGAGUACGGCCGCAAGGCUAAAACUCAAAGGAAUUGACGGGGACCCGCACAAGCGGCGGAGCAUGCGGAUUAAUUCGAUGCAACGCGAAGAACCUUACCAAGGCUUGACAUACACGAGAACACCCUAGAAAUAGGGGACUCUUUGGACACUCGUGAACAGGUGGUGCAUGGUUGUCGUCAGCUCGUGUCGUGAGAUGUUGGGUUAAGUCCCGCAACGAGCGCAACCCUCGUUCUAUGUUGCCAGCACGUAAUGGUGGGAACUCAUGGGAUACUGCCGGGGUCAACUCGGAGGAAGGUGGGGAUGACGUCAAAUCAUCAUGCCCCUUAUGUCUUGGGCUUCACGCAUGCUACAAUGGCCGGUACAAAGGGCUGCAAUACCGUGAGGUGGAGCGAAUCCCAAAAAGCCGGUCCCAGUUCGGAUUGAGGUCUGCAACUCGACCUCAUGAAGUCGGAGUCGCUAGUAAUCGCAGAUCAGCAACGCUGCGGUGAAUACGUUCCCGGGUCUUGUACACACCGCCCGUCAAGUCAUGAAAGUCGGUAACACCUGAAGCCGGUAGCCUAACCUCUUGUGGGCGAGCCGACGAUAUAUGGAGGUCCGGCGGCCC